GACGAACGCUGGCGGCGUGCUUAACACAUGCAAGUCGAACGGAAAGGCCCUGCUUUUGUGGGGUGCUCGAGUGGCGAACGGGUGAGUAACACGUGAGUAACCUGCCCUUGACUUUGGGAUAACUUCAGGAAACUGGGGCUAAUACCGGAUAGGAGCUCCUGCUGCAUGGUGGGGGUUGGAAAGUUUCGGCGGUUGGGGAUGGACUCGCGGCUUAUCAGCUUGUUGGUGGGGUAGUGGCUUACCAAGGCUUUGACGGGUAGCCGGCCUGAGAGGGUGAACGGCAACAUUGGGACUGAGAGACGGCCCAGACUCCUACGGGAGGCAGCAGUGGGGAAUAUUGCACAAUGGGCGGAAGCCUGAUGCAGCAACGCCGCGUGCGGGAUGACGGCCUUCGGGUUGUAAACCGCUUUCGCCUGUGACGAAGCGUGAGUGACGGUAAUGGGUAAAGAAGCACCGGCUAACUACGUG
rnacentral:rRNA from 1 species